UAAAUACAUUGUAUACAUGUAUACAGUUUGUACUAUUUUAAACCUAAUGCAUUGUACUGUUAAUACAUAUAAACUUGUUAAGUUUAUGUUUACAUAAACUAUAUGAAGUAAUUGUUCAUGAUUUCAACUAUGAAGUUUGGAUCUAUUAUACCUUAAAGAAUGUUUCAUAGAUUCGAUAUUCCGCACAACUUCAUGUUUAGCACGCCUCUUUCCCAACCAAAAUAUAUCAUCUAAAUUUAAUGUUUGAACUUUUCAUGGCGGUUACAACAAUCACUGGUGAAAAAGCACUUAGCACCAAACCAAUACGUACCAGUUUGUCUCUAUGAAUAGAGAUAAAAUCGAAAAUUUUGAACCGAGAUUUAGGAUUUAGUGAACACGUAGACUAUUUAUACCUGAAAAUAUCGUGAAUAUAGAUUUGUCACCAUAAUUUCUGUUUUUUUUUAAAUCACUUGUGCGGUGACGUGGAGAAAAAUUCCUGACAAAUUCAACUAUUCUUGCAAACAAUAUAUAUUCAUAUUAGUAAAUAUAUAAAACUACAAAACAUCGAAAAAAACCCUACAUUUGUUUACAAUGAUACCAUAAUAUGGUCUUUGAAAAUACGGCUGUUUUUAUCUUGAAUAUAACAAUCUGAUUUGCUUUUUUCUUGGUCAAAUAUUUACGUAUGAAUAACCCUGUAAGGUCAUGCAGCAAUAAAUGAAAGCCUUAAUCAAAACAUUUGAUAACUUUAUGCAAGUAUGCAGGUUAUGUAGGCAAUAAUUUAAAAUGAAAAUCGGCAUUAGCUGACCAAUGCAUAUUUAUCUUAAUUUCAACUGGAGUGUAACAUAUGUUUAUUUUCAGUAGCAGAAUACAUCAUCUUUAACUUUGGAUAUAAAAACGAACGACUAUUAUCAAAGAUGGCUGCGACGGUCGAUUUAACACCGAUCUCGACUAUUGUUCUCUACUCCUUGGUGUUUGUUGUUCUAUUGUUCAAAGCAAUGGAAUCAGAGGACGAGUUACCUGGACUUAUGCGAAUGGUUGCAGAGUUUAUUGAUGUUAAAACCUGCGUCCAUUAUCUGAUUAUGAUGUUUCUUGUGAAUCAUGGAACGACAACCAUUGAAAAAAUUCGCAACCGGAAAAUUUACAGAAAGCGUAUGAAAGACAACUACAUGCGAGGCAGCUAUUACAAAAGUUAUGCAUAUUUUGUGCUUGAAUUUGACCUCUCCAAAAUGUUCGAAUCAGAGGCAGUCAAUGCAGCUACGGAUGAAGUUGGCUCGAACUCCAUUUUAGAAAAGUAUAAGGCAUUAACAUGGACAGAUAAGUGUUCACAUCCGGAUACAACUAAAGAAGUCGUUGACGAGAACGAAUUGCUUAUGAGUAAAGGAAAAGACAUUUGUUCAAGGAAUGACACCAUGAAAGAUGAAGUCAAAGAUCAUGCUGUGAAUGAAUGUCCACAAUCUGAUGAAUGCAUCAUCAUUCCCGUGAACAUUGUCACCCACAAUAAGAAUGUUGAUUUAAAACACGAGCAAAAUGGGCAGACACGAAGAAGGAUCCAAACUAGAAGAAUAUGUACCAGAAGGAAUAGUAUCAGCUGUGAAGAAAACAAAAAAAAAUACCAAAACAAAAGUAGCCGGUAUCUUUGAAUGUCCUUUUACAGCUGGUGCACUAUUGGCAGUGAAACCAUCCAAAAAGGCGUUUAUGUUAGCCUUUUUGAUACUGUCUGGAUUAGCUCCGACGGCCGCAGCUCCAAUCCAGCAAGAUCCCAAAAGACGCGGCUUAUACGAAUACCGACUGCUUAUAACAUCAAAUUGUAACUACAGGGAUUUAAUUGUAUCCAGGACAUGCCAAACGAACGAAGAAUUGGCUCAAACUUACAUUGACUACUGCGGAUUUGCUGAUCUGUGUGACCCAGGAUUUAAGCCUGUUUGUGUCAGCGGUGAUAAUGGUGGAAUGUUUCAUUUCUGCUCCCCAGAGGGUCUCACUUGCGAGAAAGGAUAUAGAAGAAGAGCAUGGCUGAACAGUACUGAUUCCGAUGUGGUUUUAGUGGAGGAAGUAAAAUGUCCAGAGGGAAAGUACCAGUCGGAAAAAUCCAACUGUUAUGACGCAUGCGCAAAUAGAUAUGAAGAUAUCAAAGACUUGCCUGCAAAAUAUGCCAUAUUUUCAGAGGGGAACAAUAUAUCGCCGCCAUGGAUCUAUUGUGAUUUUGAAAAGGGUUUUUAUAAUAUGGAUGGCAAAUUUCUUCUUGAAUAUGGCGAAGAAUUCAAGUACUUUCCCUACUUCUGUACUAGCGUCUCUGAUGUCAACAUUUGUGCCAGUAGGAAAUAUCCACUUCCUAAUGGCACGUGUGUAUUGCCUUGUAAGGAAGGCUUAAAACGAGAUGUACAUGAUGGUUUUCUGUGUAAAGUACAGAGUCAGAAUUGGGCUGACAAUUUACCAGGAAAAAAGGAAAACAGCAGUGAAAAAGAGCACAGACAAGAAACAAGCAGGUCGAUAACAGAAUACAAGGGUCCAAUUGAAAUCGAUAUGACGACGCAGUUUUUCAGUCAGUGCCAAACACCACAAGUUAGAAAAAGCUUUGACAUCAAUUCAGAUUUUACUAGAACACUUCGAACCAGUGUCAUAAAAUGCUUGAACGGUAAACAUAAUACAACUCAAAGUUGUGGUAUCUGCAUGUUAUAGAGACAAAAAUGCUGUCAUCUCAGUAUUCCAUGCUAUUCACUUGUCCGGCGAUUGUUGAACAUGUUGAAAUGAGCCCAGGGGUUGAACAAAUGAUGCAGACGAUCAUGAAAAAACAACUUUGAGCGC
rnacentral:misc_RNA from 1 species